AUUGAACGCUGGCGGCAGGCCUAACACAUGCAAGUCGAGCGAGCGGCGGACGGGUGUGUAAUGUAUGGGGACUGCACGAUAGAGGGGGAUAACUACGGGAAACGGUGGCUAAUACCCCAUACUGUCGGAGACGCCAUAUGGGAUUAGCUCGUAGGUAAGGUAAUGGCUUACCUAGGCGACGAUCCCUAGCUGGUCUGUGAGGAUGAUCAGCCACACUGGGACUGAGACACGGCCCAGACUCCUACGGAGGCAGCAGUGGGGAAUAUUGCACAAGGGGCGCAAGCCUGAUGCAGCCAUGCCGCGUGUAUGAAGAAGGCCCUAGGGUUGUAAAGUACUGUCAGUCGGGAGGCGUUACCGACAGAAGAAGCACCGGCUAACUCCGUGCCAGCCGCCGCGGUAAUAC
rnacentral:rRNA from 1 species